rnacentral:rRNA from 1 species
CUAUACAUGCAAGUCGAGCGAACAGAUAAGGAGCUUGCUCCUUUGACGUUAGCGGCGGACGGGUGAGUAACACGUGGGUAACCUACCUAUAAGACUGGGAUAACUUCGGGAAACCGGAGCUAAUACCGGAUAACAUUUGGAACCGCAUGGUUCUAAAGUGAAAGAUGGUUUUGCUAUCACUUAUAGAUGGACCCGCGCCGUAUUAGCUAGUUGGUAAGGUAACGGCUUACCAAGGCGACGAUACGUAGCCGACCUGAGAGGGUGAUCGGCCACACUGGAACUGAGACACGGUCCAGACUCCUACGGGAGGCAGCAGUAGGGAAUCUUCCGCAAUGGGCGAAAGCCUGACGGAGCAACGCCGCGUGAGUGAUGAAGGGUUUCGGCUCGUAAAACUCUGUUAUUAGGGAAGAACAAACGUGUAAGUAACUGUGCACGUCUUGACGGUACCUAAUCAGAAAGCCACGGCUAACUACGUGCCAGCAGCCGCGGUAAUACGUAGGUGGCAAGCGUUAUCCGGAAUUAUUGGGCGUAAAGCGCGCGUAGGCGGUUUCUUAAGUCUGAUGUGAAAGCCCACGGCUCAACCGUGGAGGGUCAUUGGAAACUGGGAAACUUGAGUGCAGAAGAGGAAAGUGGAAUUCCAUGUGUAGCGGUGAAAUGCGCAGAGAUAUGGAGGAACACCAGUGGCGAAGGCGACUUUCUGGUCUGUAACUGACGCUGAUGUGCGAAAGCGUGGGGAUCAAACAGGAUUAGAUACCCUGGUAGUCCACGCCGUAAACGAUGAGUGCUAAGUGUUAGGGGGUUUCCGCCCCUUAGUGCUGCAGCUAACGCAUUAAGCACUCCGCCUGGGGAGUACGACCGCAAGGUUGAAACUCAAAGGAAUUGACGGGGACCCGCACAAGCGGUGGAGCAUGUGGUUUAAUUCGAAGCAACGCGAAGAACCUUACCAAAUCUUGACAUCCUUUGAAAACUCUAGAGAUAGAGCCUUCCCCUUCGGGGGACAAAGUGACAGGUGGUGCAUGGUUGUCGUCAGCUCGUGUCGUGAGAUGUUGGGUUAAGUCCCGCAACGAGCGCAACCCUUAAGCUUAGUUGCCAUCAUUAAGUUGGGCACUCUAGGUUGACUGCCGGUGACAAACCGGAGGAAGGUGGGGAUGACGUCAAAUCAUCAUGCCCCUUAUGAUUUGGGCUACACACGUGCUACAAUGGACAAUACAAAGGGCAGCUAAACCGCGAGGUCAUGCAAAUCCCAUAAAGUUGUUCUCAGUUCGGAUUGUAGUCUGCAACUCGACUACAUGAAGCUGGAAUCGCUAGUAAUCGUAGAUCAGCAUGCUACGGUGAAUACGUUCCCGGGUCUUGUACACACCGCCCGUCACACCACGAGAGUUUGUAACACCCGAAGCCGGUGGAGUAACCAUUUAUGGAGCUAGCCGUCGAAG